AUUAAAACACAACUUCAGUUAUGUCUCUUGGGAUACUACUGAGUUCCAAGAAGAAUAUGCUUUAAAAACAUCUAUUCUCAGUCACAGUUCUACUAUUCUGAACAAACAAUCAGUAAAAUAAAACUAAGAUAGCACUUCAGCUAAUUCUAGACAAAUCUAUUUAGAGUACAGUGUAACAACAUGUAACUAACAAACCCAGUAUUUAUCUAUUUAUUUCAGAGACAUAAUGUUCCACAAAACAUCAGCCAAGUAAAGCGCCAGCAGGUAAACACGGCAGAGUGUCUGGCUUUACGAGCUGUAACACCUCUUCCUGGUUUGACCUAAGUAAUCAUCAUCUUUCACCCAACUAUGAAACCCACACAAGCAAUUCUGGAUUCUGGCACCCAUACAUACAAAGUAUUAAGUGCAUAUCAAACUCCGAGGAUUGGCAUAUUACUGGGGUCAAAUUCCACUUGCAUCCAAAAUAAAAUCAGCAGAGUGUACAAUCUGAGUCAUGAUUUCUGAUACAUUGUGACUAACAGAUGCUGUCCUAGGGCAAAUUAAAGACAGAACACAGAGCAGACAGCCCAGUGUUCCGAAGGGUUUUGGAAGGCUAAAUACCAGCUUUAACAGUCCAUUAUUCUAAGCUGAAAAUCUGUAAGAAUUUUGGGGCUAUCAGUAUCACAGUUCAACAGGGGCUGCUACUAAACCAAAAAAGAAGAGCUGAAGCCUGAACAGCCACAACCAGCUGCCUUUCAAAGGUGCACCCAAUGAACACUGAAGCUGUUGAAGGGAUAGGAGACGUCUGCAUUCUGGAAUUCAGGAAGGGAGAAAAGGCCCCAACCAUGAAAUUCUGAGUAUAAACGGAUUCCAAAUUCAAGAUCGUCAAUGAGAAGGUUCGCUGCUAAGUACCACUCAGGAAGCAGCUGCCAAAGAAACCAGGGGUGGAGAGCCCUGGUUACUCCGGUCUGAUUAGACAAAGAGUCUCUGAAUAUGACAAGAAAGUACCGUUAUCCAAUUCAACAAAGCAUAACUGUAAACCACUCAUUUGUACUGCAUUCGGAUUUUGCUUUAGGAGGUCACUGACACCCUUAAAGCCCCUGAACGAAAAAGCUACUUAUUUCAGCCCGGCUUUUAUCUCCGCAACAACAGCACCAAAGCAAAAUCCCGAAGUCUUCAG